GAUGAAGAACGCAGCGAAAUGCGAUACGUAAUGUGAAUUGCAGAAUUCAGUGAAUCAUCGAAUCUUUGAACGCAUAUUGCGCUCUCUGGUAUUCCGGAGAGCAUGCUUGUUUGAGUAUCAGUAAACACCUCAACUUCCAUAUCUUUUUUGAAAUGGGAGUUGGACUUGAGUGAUCCCAACGCUUUUCCUCACCGAAAAGUGGCGGGUUACUUGAAAUGCAGGUGCAGCUGGACUUUUCUCUGAGCUAUAAGCAUAUCUAUUUAGUCUGCCUAAAAAACAGAUUAUUACCUUUGCUGCAGCUAACAUAAAGGAGAUUAGUUCUUGUGCUGACUGAUGCAGGAUUCACAAAGACAGGCUUCGGCCGACUUUGUAAACUCGAUCUCAAAUCAAGUGAGACUACCCGCUGAACUUAAGCAUAUCAAUAAGCGGAGGA
rnacentral:misc_RNA from 1 species